rnacentral:lncRNA from 1 species
GAAGCAUUUCCACAGUGUGGAGGGAGGGCAAGAGUCUCCACCUCUGCUUAUUUCACUGGGAAAGCAAAUCUAACAUCAUCAGUUCUAUACCAACAGGCAGCCUCUACCAGAACCUUUGCACGAUGUGCCAGAAGGCCCACAGCCACAUGCUGCAGUUGCAGGCACAGCUCGCAGCUCCUCAGUCCAGAAGCAAUCAGAAGAUCAAAUUUCCCCCAGAUGUCAGAACCAGUCUGGCUUGCGUGUGAAAGACAAGUUAUACACAUCCCAG